rnacentral:misc_RNA from 1 species
GUGCGGUUUCAUCCAAUCAUGUGCUCCAGGCAUCAUUGCAGGUUUUGUGGAGGAAUAUUUUGUGGCGAGUGCUCUAAAGGUAGGAGUUUGUUGCCAGUGAAGUUUCGUAUUGCAGAUCCUCAGCGUGUCUGUGAUGUAUGUUGUGUGCGGCUUCAGACUGUCCAGCCAUACCUGAUGGACCAAGUAAGCCAUGCUGCUCAAUUGCCAACCCAUGAUUUGACAGACCUUAGUACUCUGAGGUCCUGGGUUAAUUUUCCAUGGGGACAAUCCAUGGAAUAUGAGAUUUAUAAGGCAACAAACGCAAUUCAGGGUUAUAACAAGGCAGUUUGUCUAAAACCUGAGAAAUCAAUUCCAGAUGCCAUUCUACGACA